AGCCAGUUAAAUCAGACAUCAGGCUGACUCUAAAGCUUGCCUCCUCUUAAUUUUCUCCUAUGAACCCCUAGCCUAGUGUGGUGUCUACUUGGAACAUUAAUUUUUUUCUUUCCUCCAGGAGAGGAAAUCCUCCCUGAAGACAUAGCUUGCCUUGGUGAUCUGAGAACUUGUUUUGCAACAUAACUUGUUCUCAAAGACUCACUGGAAACACUCCCUGCCCCCACCCCUGCCCAGUUAUAUGACUAGCAGGGAUGGAGAGAUGCCCAUGCUGAAGCUGGUUGGG
rnacentral:lncRNA from 1 species